rnacentral:lncRNA from 1 species
AUGUUCUGUAACAUAUGUACCUAUUUGCUAAGAAUAUACAAGAUUAUAAAAUGUAUUAUAUUUUCUAAUCAAUUAAUAAAUAUAUAUAUAUUGAUAUAUUUCAUUUAUUCGUUGACCACUUUUUACAGUUUCCAUCUUAUAGUAAAAGUAUUGGUGUGUGUUAUGUUUCUCUCUGACUGUCUCUCUCUCUCUGCAGGUGUAGCCACUCUAGCUCGUUGCGCCUGGUUAACACAGCCGUUCAGAUCCCGAAAGGCCAACGGAUCUCCCGCCUGGAUAGUUUCGGAAAUCCCCCGAACGGGACACUGUGUAUCUUCCACUCAGGGCUCUCUCCGUUCUCAGCCCCCCUCCUCCUCCUUCAUCAUGACCUCCACACACACAUGCUCCCUUAUUCCCCCCCUGGUGUUCUUCUCCUUCCUGUGGUCCUCAGCGCUCUGCUUCCAGCCUCUCUUCUCUUUGGUGGGAGAUUCCUCCACUCACCUGGAGAUCACACAGAGGGCGUUGCUCUACAAGUCAGCCGAGGUGUGUCGGGCGUUGGCCUCCGCAGAGGGCCGAGACUUCAGCCUGACGAUAGACGACAGCUUGACGAGCUCCGAGGUGCAGCGGGCGUGCUCCACGAGCGGAUCCACGCUCCUCUCGACCGUCAUGUUCCAGACAGCCAUCACCAACAUAUACCUGAGCAAUGCCGCAAUAGACGUGGCGCUGGCGCUGGACGAAAGGGUCCACUUCGACGACGAGGAGUUCCAGGGAGGACGUGAUGUCAUAACAGCAGGUAUAGGGGCAGGAAGUAUGGGCUACAGGAUUGUGUCAGAAUAAUCUGUGUGCCAUUUGGUUCCUUCCAGAUUGCCCCCAUAUUCAACCCAUUAGAAUAACUGUUGAGGGGAGAAUUUUACUCCCUGUUAAACCAUUUAGUGUUAAUGUUUACCUUAACUACUGAGAAUCUGUUCCUCAUAACAUAACUUCUACUUGUGUCCGUGAUAUCUACUACACUACCCAUGAGCCCGAAUUUAACGUCACUGCUCCAGACAAAUGUCAGACCAGCUAAAUGCGGGAAACUGACACAUUCUGAGAAGCGUGAUUUUCUGUACUAACCGAACCACUGCGCUGAUUCCAUUAAGAGUCAUUUCAUUCAUAUUCAUUCCUGCCAUUACAAGACACUACGAAUAAAUCCCUACAACUGGUUUGAAGGAAUAAUCACAACAGAACAUCAAUGCAAAUGGUGGUAGGAAGUUCCUACUAGGAACGGGUCUAGCGGUUCAUUUCUGCUUCCUAGGCGUGUCUGCAGUGAAGGCCAGCGUGAAGCUGGAGAACUUUGUGGCUGGAAGGCUCAACCUGGGAUUCGUCUGUCACACACUACAGGUGGGCUAGAGGGAGUGAGGGGAAGGAUGGAAGAGCCAGUGGGCGGAGGGAGGGGUAGGUGGAGGGGUUGAUGGAUGGAGGGAGGGGUGGAUGGA